rnacentral:rRNA from 1 species
CCGUCCGAUUUGUGAAGUUAAGCAGCCACAGGCUUAGUUAGUACUGAGGUCAGUGAUGACUCGGGAACCCUAAGUGCCGUACCCUCAUAAGAUAUCC